AUUGGCAGUGGCAAAAGUGUAUUAUUUCUUUUCUUUCAAAGUCCCAAAAUGAGAGAGUAGGUUUCCUUCUUUUUAAGAGACCUAACUCAUUUCUCCACUGCUCCGUAGAUUAGGUUUGGUUCCAUUAAGAUACCUAAUUUAUUCAGAGGAAGAAAAAAAAUUUUCUAACCUAGCUAGAAAGGAGAAGAAGAAGAGCAAAACAAUAGUUUGCGGCGCUUGUUCUUCUUGCACUAGUACAAAUUUUGCUUUUUACCUCGCCUUAUAUGCCUCGGUUGGUCAGGAACCGAAGCAUAUAAUGGCGCGGUGACAUUUUUGCAAUUUCAAGCAACUUUUAUGCUCGGUUCAGCGAAAACCCGAAGCAAAAGGGGGUUAUAUGCUUCGGUUCAAAAAAACCGGUGCCAAAAGAGGGUUAUAUACUUUGGUUCCAAAGACCCGAAGCAAAAAAUGUGGCUGGAUAUUUCAAAAAUGCCACUAACCAUUAAGUCUUUGGCCUCGGGUGUCAUUGAACCGGGGCCAAAUAGGGCUAUAUGCCUCGGUUAUUAAUUGAACCGAGGCCAUAUAGUUUAAUUAGGGUUCAAAAUUUGCGAACCCCUUUUCUUCCCCGCGGUGCAUUUCUCCUCUCUCUCUCUCUCUCUCUCUCUCUCUCUCUCUCUUUCUCUCUACAACUUGCUGCUCCAGCCACCCACCACCACCACGCGAAGUUCUGCAACCACGCUGUGCUGCCACUGCGCUGCUCCGGCCACUGUCUCCGCAAGCCGUUGCUGGUGGCUCUAGCGGACCGGGAAGCUUGCAAGGUCGUGACAAGCUCUCGCUGGUGGCUCUUCUUCGCUCGACAGAUUUGCCGCCACCAUGGCCUCCUCUUCGACGCCAUCCAUCGCACCAGGCGCCGUCGAUGCUUCCUUCUCAGGACGAUCUCGACGCCGACGCGAUCAAGCGCCUACCGUUCAUCCUGCACCAGCGCGUGGCGGCAAAGGAGUCGGAUCUCUCAGGUCAUGAAAAAGAUGAAGAUGGCAGAGUGGUUGAGAUAAAGGGAGAGGGAGCAAUGAAAAAUCGAAGAUAAUAACACUAAUCCAUGGCAGUGUCAGGAGAAUAGCACUGGAAGAAACUUCAGCAUGCACGCACUGAGUCAUGACAGCUGGAAUAGGUAUGGGGAGAAUGUCAAAGAGGUGGCACAAUUGGCUUAUUGAACAUGUUCGAAGUGUCGAGACUUUUGCAACCGUAGUUUCUUCUAGAAGCGACAAGGUGAACCAUACCAAUCUUGUAUAUCGUAUAGUCAAGGAAUUUUGGGUUAGAAUAAGAACUCCAAAGAGCCUGUCCUCCAAUUUGAACGAAUUGGAGGAACUAAAAAAUCUUGUCAUCAAUGUUGCCAGAAGAUCUGUGUGCAUGAUAUAUACAGGUAAAGUGUCUUGUGCAGAGGUUGCGGAAUGAGAAGGCCAAAGUGUUCCCAUGUCCGAUGGAGGAGCAUGAUGCUCUUAUAGACAUAAGAACCCAUGUUGAUGAAGCACACACUGAUAUGCUCAUGUUAAAGAGCACAAAUCAAAAAGGUUUUGGUGUAUAUAUCUCUGUGGUGGGCGUUCCUCAUUUCUUUUUAGAUACAAGGGACCUUAAAUAUUGUGAUCAUUGUAUUUGUAUUUUAUUUUAGUGGAAUACGAAAUGAAAUUAUUUUUGAAAUUUAA